rnacentral:lncRNA from 1 species
CUUUAUCAUUUCCUUAAAGUAAUAAUCACCAUAUCAAUCAUUUUGCACUUCAGACAUGGUAGUUCUUCUGCCUUAGCGUCUUGGUCUGAUUGCGUUUCCAUAAAGACAUAAUCAUAAAUGUUCUUCCUUGAGCUGCGUCUUGAGCUGUACUCCAUAAUAGACUGGCCCGAGGUCUUGCUACAAACAAGUGGCUGCUGGAAGAGAGUAGGUGAGUUGUGUUUAGUCUCUUUGCUAAAGAAAUCAGGCAAAGCUAAAAAGAUGUUUGGUGGCUAGUACUAUGUACUGUUGAUGAAGUUAGGUGCUGUUCUGAGCAUUAUUUGUGGCAAGAGUGGCACUUAAAUUGUUUGUUUAUGGCUCCUCAGACUGCUGUGUAUUGCUAUUGUACGGUCAUUCCUAAAGUUGGUAUAACUAGAGAAGCAAGCGGUCGGCAACAUUCAUCUCUCGAAGGGGUGUAACUCUGUGUUACUGUGUGUUUGACCCUGACUUAAUUUUACACUGGAAUAUCCCUUUAAAUCAAAUUAAGAUUUGUACUUUAAGGGAAAUUUUGUUGUCUUUCAGAGUUCUAUUGGCACCAAACUGCAGCAACAUGCAUCUACAAGGACUGACACCUGGAUACGGUUCAAAGUCUCUUGGAACCACAAUCAGUCAAGUACAGAGACUCAGGAACAGAUAACAAUACACACUGCAGUCUAUUCAGAACUACAGACUGCAAAAUGCUGGCUGCAUGCAGAUUCAACUCAGAUAAAGGAUAAAUACAAAAAUAAAGGGCUGACCACAGGUGUGAACAAAGCACCAUUUCCAAAAACAUUUACAAAUGGGGGACGCUGUGUGGAUCUUUGGGGAACUUUUUGAAGAUCUAACCCCCUCGCACCUACAACAACCAAAGAUAAAUGGGAUCUUUUAUCAUUUUAGAUGUUGUAUAAUUGUACAACUGAAGUCCCAGAGUUGAUGCGGGCUUCAGAUUCUAAGAGCUGCAACCUUGAGUUCACAAGCUUAGGGGAAUUUAUCUGAUCAUGACACCCUGAAUCGCAAACACAUCUUAUCAUGGCCAUUGUCCACAUUUUGGUUAAGAUCCUCUUGGAGAAGCUUUAGAGAGUGUGAGAAAAUACACCUUUAUAUUUGAAGAUAUAGAAUUGUUUACAAGUGUAAAAAAAAAAAAAAGCUUUUAUAAAAGACACUCGUAUUAUAAUUUCUGUGAAGUCAGUCCAGAGGAACUUGUCUGUUAUGGGCUAAUCGGUGUACAGCAGUCUGAAUAAUUAAAGAUAUUAAAGAUAGAAUAGUCAGCGUUCAACAGCAAGGAUUAAAACAAUGUGUAUCUCAUGGCUAUCUCUUUCCUGUUUAUGUAAGAACAAAGCAAGUCAUGUCUGAGUUAGAGUUUAGUCUGUCUGAAAGUGCAUUUCAAAAGUGCACUGUUACAAAAAAGGUGGUGUGAGUAGUUUCAAGUUUAUACAUUUACUGAUACGAAUGAUAACAUAAAAUAUAGUGUCGUCCGCAAAAAAUUGAACAUAGUCAUAAUAAACCAUCUAUUUCAACUUGCAAUCAACUAUCAACAUACAAAAACAAAACCUGCAAUGUAGUGAAUGUUUGUAUGGAACAUAUUUGCAUAACACUGACUGAUAAAUUUAUGAAAAUAAGACUGUGGCAACUUAAAAAUGACAGCUGUAUGGGUCUUACGUGCAAGCAGCCUGCUAGGACAUUUACUGUUUUUAGAGACCUCCUGGGAUCAGCAGGGGAUGUUUAAUUUACCUUAUUAAGCAGGUAGAGCCCUCAGUCUUCAGGAAGUUCUCUGUUAACAUUUACCUAAAGUUAAAACCAAGACAUACAGUGAGGCAUCUUUUUAUUACUAUGGCCCCUGUCUA